UUAGAAUAGAAUUUAAGGUUUAACCUGCCCAUUGAUUAUUUUAACGGCCGCAGUAUUUUGACUGUGCGAAGGUAGCAUAAUCAUUAGUUUUUUAAUUGAAAGCUUGUAUGAAUGGUUGGACGAGAUAUAAUCUGUCUUUGAAUUAUUAAUAGAAUUUAAUUUUUAAGUUAAAAAGCUUAAAUAAAUUUAAAAGACGAGAAGACCCUAUAGAUCUUUAUAGAGAUAAAAAUUUAAUUUUUAAGGAUUAUUAAAAUUUAUAUUUUUGUAUUUAUUUAAUUGGGGUAAUAAAAAGAUUCAAUUAAUUCUUUUUGUGUUAAACAUUGAUAAAUGAUUUUAAUGAUCCAUUAUUUUUGAUUAUAAGAUUAAGUUACCUUAGGGAUAACAGCGUAAUUUUUUUUGAGAGUUCUUAUCGAUAAAAAAGUUUGCGACCUCGAUGUUGGAUUAAAAUUAAUUUUGGGUGUAGAAGUUCAAAGGUUUAGUCUGUUCGACUAUUAAAAUUUUACAUGAUCUGAGUUCAAACCGGUGUAAGCCAGGUUGGUUUCUAUCUUUAAUUAGUUAAAAUAUUUUAGUACGAGAGGACCGAAUAUUUGAUAUAUGAUAUUUAAUAGUUUGAAUAAAAU
rnacentral:rRNA from 1 species